AAAAGUCAUACUUUUGCUUCUUUUUUAGUUAAUAGUAGCAAACAUAGUUGUACCAAUUACUCUUAGCAAUUACUCUUAGUUGCAGAUUACUCUUAGCAUUCAACAGGUAAAGUAAAAGUUGUUUGUAAUUGAAGAUAGAAAUAAUUUAUUUUCUCAAAACCACUUCCUGUUUUUUUUGUUUUGCUUUGCAGAUUACAUAAAUGGAGAUUGGCUUAGCAGUUGGUGGUGCAUUUCUUUCUUCAGCUUUGAAUGUUCUCUUUGAUAGGCUUGCUCCUCAGGGUGAUCUACUCAACAUGUUUCAGAAGCAUAAGUAUGAUGUUCGUCUCUUAAAGAAGCUGAGAAUGACUUUGCUUGGCCUUCAGGCUGUGCUAAGUGAUGAAGAGAAUAAGCAGACAUCAAAUCGACACCUGAGCCAGUGGCUUAUUGAGCUUCGCGAUGCUGUGGACGGUGCUGAAAACUUAAUAGAAGUCAAUUAUGAAGCUUUGAGACUUAAGGUAGAAGGCCAAAAACAAAAUCUUGCAGAAACAAACAACCAUCAAGUGAUACAAGACAAACAAGAGAAAACUAGGAAUCACAGACCAAAACAGUCCACAAGUUAAGAAACCGAGGACUAUCUUGGUGACCACACUCGGAUUCGCUAGUGAUAACAAUAAUGGAGAGAAUAUCACGUGUUUAACACAAUAAUCAGCCAGCCCCAACUAAGAUUAACAACAAUAUAUGAAGCACAAGAUGAACAUAACAAUGUGAAGAACACAACAAGACAAACGGCUCACAAUACAAGAUACCAAACCGUGACAAGAUUACAAAAAUGUAAAUGAUAGAAAGAUAGACAUACACUACUACAAAGUCUAAGAACCUAAUGUGUUCUCAAACACAAAGACCCUAAACAAUGAAAGUAGCAACACCUACACUCUUCAAAGAACACAAGAGGGAACUCAAUCCUUCAAGCAUCCAAGGUUCCAAGCAAACAAACAACAAGAGUGAAUUCACACUCUAAUUGUUACCUAGUUUCGGCCAAGCCCUUUUUGGGAGAGAACUUGUGUGUUUCAAGAGUGAGAUCAAUAUUCAAUAUCCAAAAACUAAGUGAAUAAACCCUAACAUGUUCCUUAUAUAUUACAAAACAAAUAGAAGUUAAAAUGACCCAAAAGGCCCUUCAAGAAUGGGCUGCCCCUCUAGUGUAUGGAGUGGGCUGUUUUGGUGUGUAUUUGGGCCUUUAAUUACACUUCUCUUUCACAUACACUUGGUAGCUUUCAAUUCAAACCCACAUAAGUCUAUUUCCGUGAUUAUUCUCGUAUCAAGAGAUAAGAGAGUUACAAUCAGUAAUAGAUAAUAUAACAAUCUGCUUCAUUCCAUGAAGUUGUGAUGUAAACAGCUCAGCGUCAUAAAAAAGAACCCCAACCUUAGGAGAACCAGUAACGUAAAACUCUUUUAAACUUGAAAGUUGGAGGGGUGUCUCCAAACUGAGUUCAGGGUAUUUUGAAAUUGUAAGGUUCUGAAGUGUGGGAAACUCUCCAUUCCCUGGUAUAUGCCACUGCUUCCACUCCGGCAUCUCAGCAAAUUCAACUUCCUCGAGAGAGUUAAAGGGCUUUUUGGAGGACAAGCUACCAUAUAAUUAUUUCGUUACCUCAGUUAUUCGAUGCAUCCCUCUAAUGGAAAGGAAUUUCAAAGAAGGAAGUUGUCCUAGUACUACAAGGAAAAACAGUUCUUUCAGGUUCUAAGAGACAAGUGUACUAGCAGCUUAAGAAACGAAUGAUCAGCUAGCCAAUUUGGAAAUUUUGUCCCUCUAAAUCUGGUGAUUUGGAGUUUUUUAUGUCUGUGUGCGGGCGUAGCUCAUCAAGUAUGUCUCUUUUCAGUUUGUGAAUUGUCCUCAGCACUUUCACUCCACUCCAAUGAUAGUUUUUCAACAUGAUUCUUCUCCCUUAUGUUUGCCUUCAAAGAUUCCCUUCUGUUAACCACAUUUUGCAACUCUAGAAUUGAUAGAGAUCCAUACAAGUUAUGUAGUUCACCCAAAUAUUCCAUUCUCAAACCACCUAAAAGAAACUUGGCUCCCACUAGCACUUGGAGGCUUUUCAACUUGCUCAGAUGUAGCGGCAUCUUCAAGCGAGAAGUGUUGUUUAUGUCAAGAUAACGCAAGUUGAUUAGCUUUUUCAUCUGCAGCGGUAGCUCAUCAAGAUAUCUACAAGAUAUAGGAGAAGUGUCUCUAAGUUAUAUAAUACACAAAUGGAAUUUGGUAACAUUUUAAUCAUUGUCCAAGAAAGGUCCAAAAAUCUCAGGAGCUUUAAUUUGAUAAAAAAGUCAUCCGGCAACUCCUUAAUCUUGUAAUGAGACAAUGAUAAUGCCCUUAAGGAUCUUAGUGUUGGAAGCAUUUUAUGCAGCACCCUCUUGCUUAGAGGAAUUCCAUUAUAGUGUUGGAUAUUUAUUGGAAGCAAUGUCCUCAACUGCUCCAAUUUGUAGAGGGGUGUCAAUUUCUCAAAAUCACCAGCAUAACCCAUUGAAUAUGAUAAAUGUCGACUUUUUUCCAACAUAUGAAAUCCUUGGCUCUCUUCCAACCCAAUACAAUGUUUUGAAGAUGCAAUUUGGGCUAAGUCAUUGACAAGGUCAUGCAUUAAGAAUUUCUCUAUGUUCCCUUGAGAAGGUUUCAAGACUCUUUCGAAUAAUGAUCUUGAUCUCAACUCGAGAAAGUAUUGGUUCCCUAUAUCUUGAAUUGUUUCAUCUUCCUGUGGUAUAAGACCAUUCGCAAUCCACAAAUGAAUAACUUGUUCUAUGCUAAAUGGAUAAUCUUUGGGAAAUAUUGCACAAUAGGAAAAACAUCGCUUUAAAUGUGUGGGAAGAUCAUUGUAACUCAACAUCAAUGCUGGCAAUAUGUCAUUGUCUGGUAGCUCCCAUAUUUCACUUCUCAAAAUACGUUGCCAUCCUUCAACCUCUGAUUUAGAGCGUAACAUGCCAGCGAGCGUCUUUAGAGCUAAGGGUAGUCCUUUGCACUUAGCUGCAAUUUGUUUUCCGACCUCUUCAAGUUCCGGAUGUCCCAUAGGAUCCGUGUUUUUAAAUGCAUGCCUUUUGAAUAAAGAUCAAGAGACUUCAAUAGACAAAUUGUUCAUGCUAAUUUUCUUAUUUUCUAUCAUCAAGGCAAGACUCUCUUUACGUGUUGUUACAAUGAUAUUACUUCCUAUAUUUCCUUGUACAAAAAGAUUUCUCAAGUCAUCCCACUCAUUAUAGUUAUCAUUCCACACGUCAUCAAGGACAACAAGAAACCUUUUUCCCUUUAGGCUUUGCUUCAGUUUGACUUGUUGCUGAUUAAAAUUGUCAUCAACCACUAAACCGAUUUCUUGAAGUAACCCUUUUAUUAUUCUGAGAGCAUCAUAUUUCUCAGACACACAAAACCAGGCUUUCAAAUCAAAAUGGUCUUUCACCGUAUCAUCAUUGUAAACUGCUUUUGCAAGUGUUUUCUUGCCCAGGCCGCCCAUUCCAACAAUAGGAACUACAGUCAGACUUUCUCCAUUUGCAUCCUUAGACAAUAAACGGUCAAUCAAGUCUUCUAUUUCAUUCUGCCUACCAAAGACAUCAGAUUCAUCCACCAAAGAAGUUGAAGGUCUUCUAGUUUCUUGUUUACUCAAAUCAAAAUGCUCCUUUAAGCCAAGACGGCCAAUUUGAUUUUCCAACUCCUCCAAUGUUUCAAUGGCAUCUUCCAACUUCUCCUCUAUGUUAAGAAAGAAAUCAUCAAUCAAGAGCAGGUUGAGGUCACUUACUUGCUGAUACAAGACAAACAAGGAAGUAUCAAAACAUACUCCAAAAACGUCCACAAAUCUUAAGGACCCGAGGACCUUUUUGGAGACUACUCUCGGAUUCACUAUUAACAGCAAGAAUACAAGAUAUAAUGCAGUAUUUGACACCAAAUCAGCCACCACAAACUAACAAAGAUAUUAACAAGAUGAACAUUAACUCAAUGGAAACAACAAUACACGGUUUUGACUAGAACAACACAAACUAGUACAUGAUAUGUAAAGAUAGGAAGUGAGACAUACACUAUUACAAGAUUAAGAACCCAAAGACGUAUUAAAUCUAAGGAACCCUAAGACUUACAAUAGCAACACCACACUCUUACGUGACACGAGAGGGAUUCCACCGCUCAUGCCCCAAUGUUUCCAAGCAAUACACAAUCACAACUGAAUCCACACUUGUUCAUAUCCUAGUUUCGGCCUAGAGACCCUCUCUCUCAAGAGAUGUGUUCUUCAAUAAUAUUCUUGUUCAUAUCCUAGUUUCGGCCUAGAGACCCUCUCUCUCAAGAGAUGUGUUCUUCAAUAAUAUUCAAUAACUAAGGAACUAAAACCCUAUAUUGUUCUAUUUAUAGUACUUUACAAAUAAAAAGAUAAAAUCUCAAAAAAGCCCUUUAAUGACCAAGUAGGCAAAUAGGCACCCAUAGAGUGUUUUUAGGGGCGGUUUGAAGCCCUUUUUAACACUUCACUCGUACACCUCCGAGGUUACAUCCAAAAUACUCAAAAACGUUCAUCUUCAUGAUCAUGCUUGUAUCACCUCCUUACCUAUUAGCAUUCUGCCCAACACCUUGAACAGAAUAAUGGUAUCUCGUUGCCAGAAAUUGAAAUUGGAGAUGCCGGUUGGUUAUUGUAACAUGUUUCUAGAGGAAUUGAGACUCGAUGAAUACGAUUCUAUAGAUGAUACAUCAUCACCUGCGUAUGAGUUGGUCCCAAGAGCACGCAUAUUGUGGGUAGAGUAUUGCCACAACCUUACUAAGUUAUUGAUUCCUACUGGGACUGAAAGACUCUUUAUUGGGGAUUGUGACAAUCUUGAAAUACUUUCGGUGGCAGGUGGGACUCAGAUAAUUUCAUUGUAUAAUGGGGAUUGUGAGAAGCUGAAGCGGCUGCGAGAACAUAUGCACGAACUCCUUCCAUCUCUUAAGAUCCUAAAACAGGAGAAUUGUCCAAAAAUAGAGUCCUUUCUUAAAGGAGGAUUGCCCUUCAAUUUACAGGUUGUUUGGACGGUGGUUUUCUAUGGUAUGGUAUAGUAUGAUUUUCAAGGAAACCAUGUCUGUUUUGAUUAUUUUUUAAAAGGUAUAGUAUGGUAUGGUAAUCCUUCAUACUUUGGGAACCAUGGAAUAGUACAAUUUUUAGAACCACCAAUUUGGUGGUUUUCCAUGAUUUUCUUAUUUAUUUUUUCAACUAUACCCUCACAUAAUAUUUUCUAUUCUUAUUUUACCCUUUAUCCCAUUUUACUUAUAACCUUAAUAUGUUAUAAUUUUUAAGCAUAAUUAUUUCCCAAGCAAAAAAAAUUAUUAUUAAACAGUAGUGAAUGAUAUACUCUAUCCAAAUAUAGUACCGUACCAUAUCAUAUCAUACUGUACCGUAUAUUAUCAAACCAGGCAAACCACCGUCCAAACAAAGUGUUAGAAGUCCUUCAGAUUUUCAAUUGCAAGAAACUGGUGAAUGGUUGAAAGGAUUGGCAUUUACAGAGACUCCCCUGUCUCAGACUGUUACAUAUUGAACAUGAUGGCAGGGACGAAGAGAUUCUUGCUAAAGAGAAUUGGGAGUUGCCUUGCUCUAUUCAAACUCUUCGCAUAUCCAAUCUGAAAACACUAAGCAGUCAAAUUCUUAAAUGCCUCACCUCUCUUGAAUCUCUACAUAUUGGUAAUUUACCUCAAAUUCAGUCACUGCUGGAACAAGGGCUUCCCUCCUCUCUCUCCGUGCUGUCUGUACGGAAUUGCCCUAAUCUCCAAGCCCUUCCAGUAAAACGGUUACCCUCUUCCCUCUCUACACUAUUUAUUCACGGCUGCCCAUUGCUCAAACCACUCCGAGAAUUUGACAAGGGGGAGUACUGGCCAAAAAUUGCUCAUCUUUCUGAAAUAUAUAUUGAUGGGGAAUGCCUGUGAUGAUUAAAACGAAAUGCGUUCUGAAAUGUAAGUUAGUCUUUUUCACCAGUAGCUUUUUAUUUUUGCAUUCUUCCCCUUGCUUGUUUUUUAAUUGUUUUCCUUUAUAAAAUCUUUGAGCAGUGCAAAGUGUCUAUUGCCGGUGUGAAGCCAAGGAAUAAUCUUCAUUAGAUUUGCCCAUGGAUUCUCAAAUAUUUUUGUGAAAUCAGAUUUAGGUGAAGUUUGUUAUUGAAGUUUCAAGGUGUGAUUGCCAUAGUUUUUGGGAAACAUAUUUCCAUCUAUUAGAACUAGUUAUGAAGAUCCAUCGAUUCCAAAACAUUAAUAACAACAACGGUAGUAACUAGCUAUUCUUUAACAUAAUUUUUUCAUAUUCUACGAACAAUCUCUUUGAUAAAAAUGCAUUUAAUGAUGGACAUUUUUUAUAAAAUAUAAAAGUUUGGGGUAAUUUUUACGAUUUUAAAACCCAAAAUAUUAGAUUUUGGCCUAAAAACCACUUUUUUCUAGUUUUUGGGAUGUUGGUAUUUUUGCCAAAAAUUCUCCUUGCUUGUUUCAGUUCGUUAAUCCAUUUAUUAUUGCAGGAGUUGUUCAAUCAAUUUGCAGAAUCAUUAAGAAGUGCACAAAUGCUUGAAAAAUGAAAUCUCCAUUAUCUCACCCCUUUUUUCGCUCGAGGGUGGAGUCGAAGGAUUUUUCUAAUUAAAGUGACAGUUUUGAACAGGGAUUAAUUUAUUUACAGAGUCGUCACUUUAAAUUGAGUUAUAGUGUUCCAAAUCACCUUAUUGAAUCCCUAAUUAAAAGGAAAUGACUCUUAUUAUGGUCUACAAAAAUAGAAGACCAGGUACGGAGUUCUGUUGAUCGAGGGGAAGGUGUGAGGCACCCCUCGAGUCCCUUGGUUCUAGCACGGUCGCUUUCAUUGACUUAUCUUGAUUUAAAAUAUUUUGAAUAAAUUAUGUUAAAGCCAAAAUUCACUCAUUUUAAUGUACCAAGAAUAUCUGUCUAUACUUCUCGCAUUAAGCCGAUAGAAAUUAAUUUUAGAAAAUCUUUGCCAAGGUGCGUAACUGCAUCCUUAAAUUAUUUUUAAACGUCUCGGAAAGAUUUGUACGCCGUAUUUUUAAUCGAGACCAAAUAUUUUAAAACGCCUAAAAAUUAUAUAAUGUUAAAAGGCAUUCGUUUGUCUCUUAUAAAUUCGAGACAAUUUUUCUUAUCAAUUUUUCACUCUUUUCUUCUUUUCUUACAAAUUUGCAACGAGUCUAGAAUUAAUUUGCAACUCGAUUUGCUCCCUUAAAAAUGGGUAUUUCCUCUCUUCUCCUUUGUUUAUUAUGAUGUGUUUGAAUAAAUUCGUAACCAACUCACUCAACCUCACUCUAGCUAAUUAAUCUUUGAGAUCUUUAAACACAAUCUAGACCGAAAGGAUGAAAGUAGUAUCCAGGACUCUCAUGUUCAUCAAGCAACCCAAACAAUGACUAACCCGAAUGACAAGAAAUUCAUAUUAUCACCAUAAAGAGAAAUUAUGCACAAGACAAGCCAAACGUAAUUGAAAUAAAACAAUUAUUUUAUCUUAUUCCAAAAUAAUUCUAAUAUGUCAUUGUAACAUCAAAUUAGUAUCUCCUAAAAGAAUCAGUUUAACAUAGUGUUAUUAUAUCAACAAAUGUUGUUAAAAUCUUUCAAUUAAUUAACAUCAUACUUGUAAACUUUUAAAAACUAUAUAUAUAUAUAUAUAUAUGAAUGUUUAAAGAAAUUCAUGAUUUCUUUUAUAUAUUUUGCCUUUUAAUAACAAGUGACAAUUGAAUUUUUUUUUAAAAUAAAUAAAUAAAUAAAUGAUUUUGCAUGAAAUUCAUGCAUGGAUUCUUAGUAUAAAUUAAUGCAACUUGUCAUUCAAACUUUAGUUGCUUUCAAAACGUUUAAAGAAAGUAAACUGAAACUUGAAUUCGGCAACAAGAAUACAUUAAACUCCAAAUCCAUCUAAGUACGUGGUAACUUAACUAUACAAUUCAUUGAUAUAAAGAGGCACAUAAUUAAUCAAUGCACACUAAAUAACAUACAAAAAUAUUUAAAUAAUUUUAUUCAUAAUUUGACUCACAAAAAAAACUUAUAAAAUAAAAGUACAAAUUCGAUAAGAACCUGUAUGAUGAACUAAUCCAAAAGAAACAGUCGUCGACGGAAACUCAAACCGAACCCAAACUCGUCUCUCUUUUCCUUUCUUUUUUCUCUCUUUGGAUUUUCUUUUCCUUGUUUCAUUUGUUCCUUACUCUUUCUCUUAUAUCCCUUUUUGAUUUUUUCUCUUUUGCCUUUUUCUCCCAAUUUUCUCAAUUUUUCUCUUCUCCUCCUUUUGUUUUCAUUUUUGUUAUUUUUGUUUCAUUUUCUUUUCUUUUUUAUGUUCGUGUGUUUUUGUGUAAUAUAUAGGGUGUAGGGGGGUUGAGAAGUUGAGGGAUUUGGAGGAAAAUUAGGGGGUGGUUGGGUUAGGUUAGGAUAGGAUAAGAUUUUAAUUUUUUUAAAAAUAAUAAUAAUAAUAAAAAAAAAUAAUAAAUAAAUAAAAUAAUAAUAAUAACUAAUUAAUUUUUAUAUUUAAUAAAAUAUAAUAAAAUUUUAAAAAUAGCCAAAAAUAAAUAUUAUUAAGAUAGUACUAAAACUACUAACUUAUUUAUUUUAAAAGAAACAUACUUUAUUUUUUAAUUUUUGUAUUAUUAUUUUUUUUAAAAUUAGAAUAAAAUAAAACAAUAUCCUAAAAUUAACUUCAUUUAGAUGUUUACCUUUUAAAGGAAAAUUUAUUAAAAUAAAAUAAGAAUUUAAAUGAUAUUAUAUCAAAUAUAAAUAUUUAAUAUUGAAAAAUAUAUAUAUUAAACUCGGGAGGGUCAAAAUCACGUGUCUACAUUUUGCCCCUCUUGUUUGAAAUUUCACGGAGUUUUCAUACAAGGAAGUAGACAAAGAGAUGACUUUUGACCCUCCAAAUAAUCUAAAAGUAAAGAUAAAAUAAAAUAAAAUAAAAGAUGUGAUCGAGUCCUGGUUUUGGACCGCCUACAUAGCCCAGGUUUUAAGAAAAUCAGGUCACACUUAAUUCAGAGGUAAAAAGUGAGAAGAAACGAUAAAGAUCGAGUGAGAUUCCGUCGAGUUUUCGGUUAAUGACUUUUGCUUUUUACAUUCAAACAAAAAUAGAAAAAGAAGAAACAAAUAGACGAUCCUAUCUAUACAACUUUCUAGAAUGUUGACGUGAAUCUUCAUGACUUCUCAAGUAACGAGAUUCAUAUUCUUUAGACUUUCUACUGCUUUAGACUUGCGAAUCUUCACCCUAUUCUUUAGGAGGGCUCCUGAGCUUACAACUGAUUAUGUUCACCCUGUUCUUUAGGCGGGCUCCUGAGCUUGCAACUGAUUAGGUUCACCCUGUUCUUUAGGCGGGCUCCUGAACUUCCUUUUCUUUACCCUGUUCUUCAGGAGGGUUCCUGAACUUUCUUUUUUUUAUUUUUCAACUAUUUUCCUGAACUCAAAAUAAAAAGUGAAAUAGAAAAAAAAAACAUCCCAUUCUUCAGGAGAGUCCUGAGCAAAAAAUAAAUUCCCAUUAUUCAGGAGGGUUGUCCUGAACAAAAAGUAAAUUUCCAUUCUUCAGGAGGGUCCUGUCCCAUUCUUCAGGAGGGUCCCGAACAAAAUGUCAAUUCUCAAUAAACACGAAUAAAAUUUUUGCCCCAGUUAGCACUAGAAAAUUUUGUGAGAGUCAUCAGAUCACAACUUUUAAAAAGUACAGUAAAAAAGGUAAAUCAAGUCCAUGCUAAAGAAAUGCAUUUUUUCAAAGUAAAACUAAUGACCAAAAUUAGGAAAUUCGUCUCCUAACACAUGAAAUUUAAAUUAUCCAGACAAGGAAGUGUGUCUCCUAGUGGUUAAAUGAAAUGACUCAACCAAAAAGUGAAUUUUCUAGGAGUGAAGGUUCCAGUUAAGAAAUGCAUCACCUAAUAAAUUAAACAUGAAUUAUCCAGACUAGGAAGUGCGUCUCCUAGGGUUCAAUGGAAGAACUAGACAAGACAAUGCGUCUUUUAGGAGUAAUGGUUCAAGCUAAGAAGUGGGUUACCUAACACAUGAAAACUGACAUACCCUGACUAGGAAGUGCGUCUCCUAGGAGUCAAAUGAAAUGACUCGACUAGAAAGUGCGUCUUCUAGGAGUGAAUGUUCAAGUUAGGAAGUGUGUUACCUAACAAAUAAAAACUAACUUAUUCAGACUAGGAAGUGUGUCUCCUAGGGGUUGAAUGAAAUGACUCAACUAGAAAGUGCGUUUUCUAGGAGUAAUGAUUCAAGUUAGAAAGUGCUUCACGUAACAAAUGAAAGAUGACUUAUUCAGACUAGGAAGUGCGUCUCCUAGGGGUUAAAUGAAAUGACUCGAUUAGAAAGUGCGUCUUCUAGAAGUGAAUGUUCAAGUUAGGAAGUGCAUUACCUAACAAAUGAAAACUAACAUACCCUGACUAGUAAGUGCGUCUCCUAGGGGUUAAAUGAAAUGACUCUACUAGAAAGUGCAUCUUCUAGGAGUAAUGAUUCAAGUUAGGAAGUGCAUUACCUAACAAAUGAAAACUAACAUACCCUGACUAGUAAGUGCGUCUCCUAGGGGUUAAAUGAAAUGACUCGACUAGAAAGUUCGUCUUCUAGGAGUGAAUGUUCAAGUUAGGAAGUGUGUUACCUAAUAAAUAAAAACUUACUUAUUCAGACUAGGAAGUGCGUCUCCUAAGGAUUAAAUGAAAUGACUCGACUAGAAAGUUCGUCUUCUAAGAAUGAUGGUUCAAGUUAGGAAGUGCAUCACCUAACACAUGAAAAAUGACUUACCCAAACAAGGAAAUGCAUAUCCUAGGGGUAUAGGAUGAUGAUUUUUCAAUAUAAUUGUGAUUACUAAAUAUGUGUAGCAAUAUUGCCUCUUGCAUUUGCAAGAUGAGGAAUUGCAUCUUUUGAUAUUUAGGCUUUGAAGUCCUUGAUUUGAAGGUAACAUAUUUUUGUUUCAUAUAAGAAGACUUUUUAAUUUAAAAACACUAUGAUUGAUUUGUGGCAUUUGGCCAUUAAGGCAAUCUCUUGCACUUGUCAUACUCAGCUCCAAUGCAAAACAUUGAUAGGUAUUGUUGACUUGCUGUAGUAUUGACCACAAAUUCUGACUACUAAAACAUUUUGACUCAAAUCAUAUUUCUAUUGCAUGAUGCCUCUAGGUUCAACUUCAAAUUCACCUCUUAUACUUUUGUGAGUCCAAAAAUUGUCGGGUGAUAAGCAUUCUUGAAUAUCUUACUUUAUUUUGAAGCAUGUUAACUUGGUGCAACAGCCAUUUGUCAUGCUUUAUGCAAUUGAGGGAGUUGGUAACAAGUUUUGAAGUUCUUUCUCCCUUGUCUUAACAUAAAUUUGACUCAAAAUACAUGAAAGAUGACGAUAUUAAUUUUUCAUUCGAUGACAAAGACAUAAAAUCAAAAAGAAAAAUAAUAAUACAAAGAAAAGAAAAGGACAAUAAACAUCUCUUUUCAAAAACGACAAAAAUGAAAACUUAUCUGGAUGUGGCAGGUGAUUCCAGUGAUUAUGACAUGCAUUUUGAAUUACAUAAUCUGAUCUACCCAAACUAAUCACUAUCAAAUUUUGCCCACUCAUUGAAUUUGAAAUGGAGCCAUUCUUGAACAUGCUCCCUCUAGAUUACAAUCCUCCUUCAACUAGUGACACCUCAAUGGGUUUUGCCAAUAAGCCGAUCUCAUUCUUAUUUAUUUCUCAGCUCACUGUUGCCUUAUGGUGUCCAUGAGGAUUUUCACCAAUAAGACUCUCAUUUUUUAUUGUUCUCACAACUCACUGUCGCCUUAUGGUGUCCACAAUAUGAAACCUCAUAUACUCAUACAUGUUUAGUCUUGACAUUCUCUAAGAUUGAUCUGAAGGUAUUUCUUCGAUUGUCUUGGCUUAUGGAUAGGGUAAGAAAGAAAGGAUGGCAUAAGGCUCAAAAAUAUACAUGACAUUAGGUGAAGCAUACAAUUUUUGAAAUCAACUCUUAAGGAAAUAAAUUUUUGCCCCAGUUUUAUUUCAUACUAGGUAGAUUAAAUUUUUACUUGGUUGGACCGGACCCCAGAAUAGGGCUGCCUACGUAUCUUGUCAUAGCAAGAAUCAGGUCAAACGUAGUUCAGACAAGUCAUUCUCUCUUUUUUCUUAAAUGAACUUGGGCUCUCAUUUCUUUUCUUUGAUUCUUUUUUUUUCAGUUCCAUUUUUUUUUCUUGAAAUUUUUUUCUCUGACUCCAUUUUCUUCUUGAUGCACAUUUUUUUAUUUAUUUAUUUUGACUUCAUUUUUUCUUGACAUUUUUCUGACUCCAUUUUUCUUGACACCUUCUUUUUUAUUUUUUUCAAACUCUAUUUUGAUUUCAAAAGAGGGGUAUGAAAUAAAAUAAAAUUAAAGCUCAAAAGGGGUAACAAAGGAUGACACAAUAUUUGGAUAGCAGAAUGAAAUGCCUUCGUCAUAUCAAUCCUUAAAAAUGCUAACAUUUAACAUGUAAUCUGCGAGUGAGCAUAAAGAUCAUGUAUAUUUUUUUUCAAUAUUGACCUUGACUGAAUAUGUAUGUCACUACUUCGCAUGCACUUGUCAAAUAGAAAGGUCCAAAUAUAUUCACAUUCCUCCUAUUAAAGGACCCAUGCGUUCUUAAGCUAACUUCCUUUUGCUUGUCCUGACAAUGGAGAUUAUAUAUCUUCUGAUCGCUCUCAUGUAAAGUGUUUGAGAUUGACCUUCUCAUUGAUGAACAAGUCAUUUUUCAUUCACAAAGUGAUUGUUUCAAUCCAUUCAAGUGAGGCUUUAACUCAAUCAACAAACAUCUCAUCAUUUUACUUAUUUCCUUACAUGAUUUUUCCUAUCAACUCUAUUUUCCUGGUCAAGUGUUUCAGGAUUAUAUUAGGUUUUAAGAUUUGGUGAAAAUUCAUCAUGCAUAUCGUAUCAUUAGAAUCACCAUAAAAGAAUUGUGUAAAGAAAGAAAAGACGAACAAAUAAAAUAUAUAUAUUAAAAUAAAGUAAAAUAAAAUACAAUAAAUAAAUAAAUAAAUAAAUAAAAGGAAUACUACAUUUUGUUAAAAGAAAAGAUGACCGAGUUUCAACAUAAACGACAUAUAGAAAAGACAAGAUAGACUCUAAACUACAAUCUUGAAAAUAAACUUUUUUAAAUCCUUCUAGGAAGGGAAGGAGUGACUUCUCAAUUGUUGAGCUUCAUAUCUUCUGCAGUUCGCACAUCAACAUGACUAGAUCCUUCACCACUGUCAACGUCCUCCACCAUAAUCAAUUUAUCUUGAAUCAUUCUUUCUAUUUCUCUCUUCAAAGCACGAUAAUCUUCUGUACUAUGACCCUGAACAUCAGAAUGAUAUACAUAUCGUACAUUAGGAUCAAAUUUCCUUGAAUAUGGUUCAGGGGUGUACCCAAGAAGAGGAGUGAUCAUGUCCUUUUGUCUUAAUUUCUAAAAUAAGCUAGUAUAUGAUUCUCCAAUUGGUGUAAAAUUUUCCCUUAGCUUCUGUUUCUUUUCAUUGUUUGGCUUGGAGCGAAAAUCGAAUAUAAAGGAUCUUGGGUAUGUUGGUGGAGUUGGAAGAUGAUUCUAAGGGGUUAAUGCACGCCAUUGUGAGUAAGAAGGGGUUCGGGCAUAUGGUUGUGCAUUAUAACUAGGAUACUGAGGGGAUGAAAUGAAAUAUAAUGGAUUUUGUGCAUAUGGUUAACGCGCACAUCUCCAAUUUUGUCAUGGACCUGGCACAAUAGUUUUUACAUCCUCUUUUCUUUUAUUUUCACCAAAGCUUCCUGAACCACUUUGAAUUGCCUGUGUUGUUGCUUUCAAAGCGGCCUGGCUGAUAAUCUUUCCUGACUUAAUUCCAUUCUCUACCAUCUCUCCAACUUUAAUAACUUCAGCAAAUGUGCUUUCAAUAGUAGAAACAAAAUAAUGGAAAUAAUCAGGUUCUUGUGCUUGCAGAAAGAUAUCGAUCAUUUCAAAUUCCUUUAUCGAUGGUCUAACUCUUGAAGCUUGUUCUCUCCAUCUGACAGCAUAUUCUCAAAAACUUUCAGUUGUCUUUUUUCUAAUAUUGACAAGCGUAGUGCGAUCUGGAACUAUCUCAAUGUUACAUUGAAAUUGUUGAACGAAUUCUCGAGCCAUGUCAUCCCAUACGUGCCAACGGGAAAUGUCUUGGUCAAUAAACCAUUCAGAAGUUAUUUCUGUCAGGAUUUCUCCAAAGUAAGCCAUCAAUAAUUCUUAUUUUUCUCUUGCACCCCUUAAUUAAUUACAGAACUUCUUCAAAUGAGCCACAGGGUCGCCAUGACCUUCGUAUUUGUCAAACUUUGGCAUUUUGAACCCUAGCGGCAAAUGGACGUUAGGAGACAUACAUAUAUCUUUGUAUGAAACGCUUUUUGGUCCUCUUAAUCCUUGCAUAUUUCUCAUACUCUUCUCCAAGCUUCUUACUUUCCUAGCCAUCUCCUCUUAUUUCUCAUUUUUAACAAUCUUCUCAAUCACGAUUGGAGAAUCAUGUUGAUGAGCAUAAUAAUGUGGAUUUUGGGAUUUGAAAAUCAUUUUAGUAGGAUACAAUAGAUCACGACUUGGUUCCCCCAUAUUCUUUAGUGUUGUCGAUUGAUAGCUCGCGAUAGUUGGUGCUACAGAAGUGAAAAACGGGUUAUUUUUUACAGACGGAUUUGGUGGGGGCAUGGUAGAAGUACCAGCAACCCAGACAUAUUAGCAAAUGGGCCGAAUCCAGGUGGGUAUAAUGGAUCGCUAGUUUGAUCUUGAGAGAGAUUCGGAUCAUUCGUAGUCGAAAGUCCAAGGAUUGAUGAUGGCGGGGCUUGUCCAUUCAACUAAGCUCAAUACAUCUCUGUCAUCUGUUAUUUCAAUAACUUAAUCUCUUCUAUUGAUGCUAGUUCUUGCGAAAUCACCUGAUUUUGCUCCUCAUCACUGUCAAACCCUACACCCUCUUUGCGGGUCAUUUUUAUCUUUUAUUUGAACCUCUGUUACAUGGAUGAGAAGCCAACUUAGCCACAAACCAACCACCUUAAUACUAUUUUGAUUUUGGAGAAAAUUAAUGUGUCAGAGUUUAAUUUUUUUUAGAUCACCGAAUCCAUUAAGGACUGUCUACGUUUCUCAUUAAUAUGAGAAUCAGGUGUGCGUAGUUCUCGAAAUAUAUGUCGUACAAAACUUAGCAUCAAGACCCCUAAAGGUUCAAGGAUGUAAAGAUUUAUAUAAAUAUAUUUUAUUUUUUUUGUAAAAACUUAGCCUCAUUAUCCCUAAAGAUUCAGGGCUGUUAAGAUUUAUACAUUUUUAUUUAUUUUGUAAAAACUUAGCCUCAUGAUCCCUAAAGAUUCCGGGCUAUUGAAACAUAAAUAUUUAUAAAAAAAAAAACCUUAGCCUCAUGAUCCCUAAAGAUUCAGGACUAUUAAGAUAUAUAUAAAAAUUGGACUUAAGAAUUAGAAAAAUAAUUAUGAAAGUAAUCAUAUUUUUAAACUAUUUCCCAAUAAAUCUAUGAAUAAUUGUUCAAAAGAUCGAGUCCUAUCCUGGGAAGGACUUCCUGUGUAUCCCACUAAUAUGUGAGCAUCAGACCCUCGUAGUUCAUGAAAACCGUCAAUGUAUGUUAUUAUAAAUUUAAAUUUUCCUUUUUUUGUUUUUUUAAAUAAAAAUAAAAUUUUCCUUUUAAAAAUAAUUCACUAAAUUUGAGGAUAAUAUAAUCUCUUGCAUUUUAAAGUUCCUUUAAAAACGGUCAGCAAUCAGAUAGUCUUCCAAACAAAUGUCAAAGACCUCGUAGGAUACACAUGUUGGUCUUUAUAAAGUAGGUCACCUGUCCUAGACAGACCCGACCCCUGUGCCGAGUCCCGCUAAGUCAAAUGCAUAUGAUUCAAAUAAAGCGGCACGUAAUAGGGAUAACCAAAUUCUGAGUUUUCAGCUCUUCUAAGUUUAAGCCUAAUAGGGAUAGGUGUCUAGACUAGCUUACCCGAGCGGACACUCGAGCCGGGAAGGGACAACUUGGUCGGUAGCAGGGCAACACUGUCUUCGUUGUCGAUCCGAACCCCGCCUAACAUGUGUGACUAUAAUCCUUCACCAGGUGCCUUGACACUCCGACUAUCUCAAAAAGAAAGUAGGAUGCAUGCAUUGCAUUUCUUCUAUCCUAUUUCAGAGACUCAGAGGGGGUGCGCAAGAGAAGACAGUCUAUAAUACAGUUCAAUCAAUAUCAAAGCGGUAAAUAAGCGACAAGUAACUCAUAAGGCCAACAAACACAAUAUCAACAAUAAUUAAAGCAAGUAAAGUCAAUAUAAAAGGCUCGAAUUCUUAUUAUUUCCCAGUAGAGUCGCCAGAGAUGUCACACCUCUUUUUUCGCUCGAGGGUCGAGUCAAAGGGUUUUUUCAAUUAAAGUGACAAUUUUGAAUAGGGAUUAAUUUAUUUACACAGUCGCCACUUGAAAUUAAGUUAUGGUGUUCCAAGUCACCUUAUUGAAUCCCUAAUUAAAAGGAAAUGACUCUUAUUAUGGUCUACGAAAAUAGAAGACCAGGUAAGAAGUUCUGUUGACCGAGGGAAAGGUGUGAGGCACCCCUCGAGUUCCGUGGUUCUAGCAAGGUCACUUUCAUUAACUUAUCUUGAUUUAAACUAUUUUGAAUAAAUUGUGUUAAGGCCAAAAUUCACUCAUUUUAAUAUACUCAGAAUAUCUGUCUAUACCUCUCGCAUUAAGCCGAUAGUAAUUAAUUUUAGAAAAUCUUUGCCAAGGUGCAUAACUGUAUCCUUGAAUUAUUUUUAAACGUCUCAAGAAGAUGCUUACGCAGCAUUCUUAACCGAGACCAAAUAUUUUAAAACGCCUAAAAAUUAUAUAAUGUUAAAAGGCAUUCGUUUGUCUCUUAUAAAUUCGAGACAAUUUCCUUAUCAAUUUUUCACUCUUUUCUUUUUUUCUUACAAAUUUGCAACGAGUCUUGAAUUAAUUUGCAACUCGAUUUGCUCCCUUAAAAAUGGGUAUUUCCUCUCUUCUCCUUUGUUUAUUAUGGUGUGUUUGAAUAAAUUCGUAACCAACUCACUCAAUCUCACUCUAGCUAAUUAAUCAUUCGAGAUCUUUAAACACAAUCUAGACCGUAAGGAUGAAAGUAGUAUCCAGGACUCUCAUGUUCAUCAAGCAACCCAAACAAUGACUAACCUGAAUGACAAGAAAUUCAUAUUAUCACCAUAAAGAGAAAUUAUGCACAAGACAAGCCAAACGUAAUUGAAAUAAAACAAUUAUUUUAUCUUAUUCCAAAAUAAUUCUAGUAUGUCAUUGUAACAUCAAAUUAGUAUCUCUUAAAAGAACCAAUUUAACAUAGUGUUAUUAUAUCAACAAAUUUUGUUAAAAUCUUUCAAUUUAUUAACAUCAUACUUGUAAACUUUUAAAAACUAAAUAUAUAUAUACAUACAUACAUAUAUAUAUAUUUUUUCUUUUAAUAACAAGUGACAAUUGAAUUUUUUUUACAAAUAAAAUAAAAUAAAUAAAUGAUUUUGCAUGAAAGUCAUGCAUGGAUUCUUAGUAUAAAUUAAUGCAAUUUGUCAUUCAAACUUUAGUUGCUUUCAAAACGUUUAAAGAAAAUAAACUGAAACUUGAAUUCGGCAACAAGAAUACAUUAAACUCCAAAUCCAUCUAAGUACGUGGUAACUUAACUAUACAAUUCAUUGAUAUAAAGAGGCACAUAAUUAAUCAAUACACACUAAAUAACAUACAAAAUUAUUGAAAAAAAUUUAUUCAUAAUUUGACUCACAAAAAAAACUUAUAAAAUAAAAGUACAAAUUCGAUAAGAACCUGUAUGAUGAACUAAACCAAAAGAAACAGCCAUCGACAGAAACUCAAACCGAACCCAAACUCGUCACUCUUUUCCUUUCUUUUUUCUUUCUCUCGGGAUUUUCUUUUCCUUGUUUCAUUUGUUCCUUGCUCUUUCUCUUAUAUCCCUUUUUGAUUUUCUCUCUUUUGCCUUUUUCUCCCAAUUUUCUCACUUUUUCUCUUCUCCUCCUUUUGUUUUCAUUUUUGUUGUUUCUGUUUCAUUUUUUUUUUUUUAUGUCCGUG
rnacentral:lncRNA from 1 species